rnacentral:rRNA from 1 species
GGCGAGUGAGCGGUAACAGCUCAAAUUUGAAAUCUGGGUCUUUCAGGCUCCGAGUUGUAAUUUGUAGAAGAUGCUUCGGGUGCGGCUCCGGUCUAAGUUCCUUGGAACAGGACGUCAUAGAGGGUGAGAAUCCCGUAUGUGAUCGGUUGCUUGCGCCCAUGUGAAGCUCUUUCGACGAGUCGAGUUGUUUGGGAAUGCAGCUCAAAAUGGGUGGUAAAUUUCAUCUAAAGCUAAAUAUUGGCCAGAGACCGAUAGCGCACAAGUAGAGUGAUCGAAAGAUGAAAAGCACUUUGGAAAGAGAGUUAAACAGUACGUGAAAUUGUUGAAAGGGAAGCGCUUGCAACCAGACUUGCGCGUUGCCGAUCAUCCGGGGUUCUCCCCGGUGCACUCGGCCUCGCUCAGGCCAGCAUCGGUUUUGGUGGUGGGAUAAAGGCCUUGGGAAUGUAGCUCCUUUCGGGGAGUGUUAUAGCCCUCGGUGCAAUGCCGCCUACCGGGACCGAGGACCGCGCUUCGGCUAGGAUGCUGGCGUAAUGGUUGUAAGCGAC